rnacentral:rRNA from 1 species
AUGGCGUCACUGGUUGCCACCGUCACCUUCACCGCGGCGCUCACCCCACCUGGUGGUUUUUGGGACGAUGACAACCAAGCCAAGGGGUAUGUCGCCGGUACCUCGGUUAUGCGUGACAAAUUUCCUCAGAGGUAUCGCUUAUUUCAGUUCAGCAACAAGAUGGCCUUCUUUGGAUCCUUGAUGAUCAUUGGAAUGCUUGCCAACACCGUAAAGAACAAGCCGAAGGCCACUGCAUUGAGAAGGAAAAUAUGUUUCCCAUUUGUUGUAGCCUUUUGCAUUGUGGGCUUGGGGACUAGCUUCAUCACCGGCAUGUCGUGCGACCACAAAGAAGAUGUUUUCAACGGUGCUAUGCUUGUAGGUGUCCUUGUCAACAUCUCCAUCCCUUGGGUUAUGAGUUGUCGACCUCGGAAUCCUUGA